GUGGGGAAUCUUAGACAAUGGGCGCAAGCCUGAUCUAGCCAUGCCGCGUGAGCGAUGAAGGCCUUAGGGUUGUAAAGCUCUUUCGUGGGGGAAGAUAAUGACUGUACCCCAAGAAGAAGCCCCGGCUAACUCCGUGCCAGCAGCCGCGGUAAUACGGAGGGGGCUAGCGUUGUUCGGAAUUACUGGGCGUAAAGCGCACGUAGGCGGACUGGAAAGUCAGGGGUGAAAUCCCGGGGCUCAACCCCGGAACUGCCGUUGAAACUCCCAGUCUUGAGUUCGAGAGAGGUGAGUGGAAUUCCGAGUGUAGAGGUGAAAUUCGUAGAUAUUCGGAGGAACACCAGUGGCGAAGGCGGCUCACUGGCUCGAUACUGACGCUGAGGUGCGAAAGCGUGGGGAGCAAACAGGAUUAGAAACCCCUGUAGUCC
rnacentral:rRNA from 1 species